AGAGUUUGAUCAUGGUUCAGGAUGAACGCUAGCUACAGGCUUAACACAUGCAAGUCGAGGGGAAACGACAUCGAAAGCUUGCUUUUGAUGGGCGUCGACCGGCGCACGGGUGAGUAACGCGUAUCCAACCUGCCCACCACUUGGGGAUAACCUUGCGAAAGUAAGACUAAUACCCAAUGACGUCUCUAGAAGACAUCUGAAAGAGAUUAAAGAUUUAUCGGUGAUGGAUGGGGAUGCGUCUGAUUAGCUUGUUGGCGGGGUAACGGCCACCAAGGCGACGAUCAGGUAGGGGUUCUGAGAGGAACGGUCCCCACAUUGGAACUGAGACACGGUCCAAACUCCGUACGGGAGGCA
rnacentral:rRNA from 1 species